rnacentral:rRNA from 1 species
UACGAACGCUGGCGGCAUGCCUAACACAUGCAAGUCGAACGAGACCUUCGGGUCUAGUGGCGCACGGGUGCGUAACGCGUGGGAAUCUGCCCUCAGGUACGGAAUAACUCAGGGAAACUUGAGCUAAUACCGUAUAAUGACUUCGGUCCAAAGAUUUUAUCGCCUGGGGAUGAGCCCGCGUCGGAUUAGCUAGUUGGUGAGGUAAAGGCUCACCAAGGCGACGAUCCGUAGCUGGUCUGAGAGGAUGAUCAGCCACACUGGGACUGAGACACGGCCCAGACUCCUACGGGAGGCAGCAGUGGGGAAUAUUGGACAAUGGGCGCAAGCCUGAUCCAGCAAUGCCGCGUGAGUGAUGAAGGCCUUAGGGUUGUAAAGCUCUUUUACCCGGGAAGAUAAUGACUGUACCGGGAGAAUAAGCCCCGGCUAACUCCGUGCCAGCAGCCGCGGUAAUACGGAGGGGGCUAGCGUUGUUCGGAAUUACUGGGCGUAAAGCGCACGUA